rnacentral:rRNA from 1 species
UGCUGGGGGAUUAGUGGCGAACGGGUGAGUAACACGUGAGUAACCUGCCCUUAACUCUGGGAUAAGCCUGGGAAACUGGGUCUAAUACCGGAUAUGACUCCUCAUCGCAUGGUGGGGGGUGGAAAGCUUUAUUGUGGUUUUGGAUGGACUCGCGGCCUAUCAGCUUGUUGGUGAGGUAAUGGCUCACCAAGGCGACGACGGGUAGCCGGCCUGAGAGGGUGACCGGCCACACUGGGACUGAGACACGGCCCAGACUCCUACGGGAGGCAGCAGUGGGGAAUAUUGCACAAUGGGCGAAAGCCUGAUGCAGCGACGCCGCGUGAGGGAUGACGGCCUUCGGGUUGUAAACCUCUUUCAGUAGGGAAGAAGCGAAAGUGACGGUACCUGCAGAAGAAGCGCCGGCUAACUACGUGCCAGCAGCCGCGGUAAUACGUAGGGCGCAAGCGUUAUCCGGAAUUAUUGGGCGUAAAGAGCUCGUAGGCGGUUUGUCGCGUCUGCCGUGAAAGUCCGGGGCUCAACUCCGGAUCUGCGGUGGGUACGGGCAGACUAGAGUGAUGUAGGGGAGACUGGAAUUCCUGGUGUAGCGGUGAAAUGCGCAGAUAUCAGGAGGAACACCGAUGGCGAAGGCAGGUCUCUGGGCAUUAACUGACGCUGAGGAGCGAAAGCAUGGGGAGCGAACAGGAUUAGAUACCCUGGUAGUCCAUGCCGUAAACGUUGGGCACUAGGUGUGGGGGACAUUCCACGUUUUCCGCGCCGUAGCUAACGCAUUAAGUGCCCCGCCUGGGGAGUACGGCCGCAAG